rnacentral:rRNA from 1 species
UACGUAGGGACCAAGCGUUGUUCGGAUUUACUGGGCGUAAAGGGCGCGUAGGCGGCCUUCUAAGUCGAACGUGAAAUCCCCGGGCUCAACCCGGGAACUGCGUCCGAUACUGGAAGGCUUGAAUCCGGGAGAGGGAUGCGGAAUUCCAGGUGUAGCGGUGAAAUGCGUAGAUAUCUGGAGGAACACCGGUGGCGAAGGCGGCAUCCUGGACCGGUAUUGACGCUGAGGCGCGAAAGCCAGGGGAGCAAACGGG